rnacentral:rRNA from 1 species
UACGUAGGGGGCUAGCGUUGUCCGGAAUUAUUGGGCGUAAAGAGCUUGUAGGCGGUUUGUCGCGUCUGCUGUGAAAUUUCGGGGCUCAACCCCGAACUUGCAGUGGGUACGGGCAGACUAGAGUGUGGUAGGGGAGACUGGAAUUCCUGGUGUAGCGGUGAAAUGCGCAGAUAUCAGGAGGAACACCGAUGGCGAAGGCAGGUCUCUGGGCCACUACUGACGCUGAGAAGCGAAAGCAUGGGGAGCGAACAGG